GGGUGAGUCAUGCAGUCUGUGAAUGAGAGCCACAUGGGGUAGAGCUUGCCUGCGUGGGGACCUUGGUCACGCCUCUUAGAGCCACAGCUCAGCUCUUCAACACCCGGCAGUCCCCUCCCUGAGGUGUGCACGUCUGCGCUGUGUGCACGCAUGAACGUGUGGUGUCGCAGAGGGGGGCCGGCAGACAGGAAAGGAGGCUGUGACUCGGGAGGAAAGGAUUAGGGUUUGGAAAGGAGUCAAAGCUUGAGGGGAGGAUUUUGGCGGGAGUGCUUCGCUGCCCUCUCCUGGCCUCUGUGGGUUUGACCGAUCUUUUUUUUCUGCAGAAGCCAGCUUUCUCCUUUAGCCUGGGAGGAGCCAGGGAGCGGUGCUGACAGGGCAGAAUCCCUGCAGCCUGAGGGGUGGCUCUCGGGGAACCCUGGGACCAGCAGGGGAGCAGCUUCUGCCCUAGCUGUGGGACACCCUUCCUGCCCAGCAGGUGUUCAAGCAGAAGGAACAGCCUGACGCUCAUGACUGCAUGCCAGCAGGGGACAGAAGUGCCAGUCGUCCCCAGUGGGAGAGAAAACUGAAGCUCAGCGAGAAGAGACUUACCCAAGGUCACACCUGUAGUGCCUGACAGAGACGAAACGUGGACUCAACCGGCCCAGCUACACCUCCUGGCCCUGCCAGUGCCUGGGAGGUAU